rnacentral:lncRNA from 1 species
GGGACUGUAUCUUGUAGGCUUGCUCAAAUAAUUCGUUUUCCCCGUUUACCGUUAUUGAUUCGUUAUUUUCGGAUUUUUUGAAGCAAUAUUGAAUCUUGGCUGUCCACACGCCUGGAUAUCGCGGAUUCGAACCGCGAUUGGCCGUUUUCCGUAAUGGCGCCUUUUUUUUCGUUUUUAAAAAAUGCUUUGUCAAAUCAUCCAAACUUUUUUAAGUCCACUGGGGCAAUCUAGUGUGUUGUUUGCCCCUUGUAGCCAAUCAGAGAGCACGUUUAACCAGGGGGAGGGGCUGGUAGGACGUGCUUAAUGAAAACAGCGUGCACACGCCUCGUGGCUCAGUCGCACUGGGACUUUUGGAGAGGGUGGAAGGGUAGAUUCAUUGGUGUAGGCAGGCAGGAAACAUUGCUGCGUCACAGCAUGGCUGUGUGAAGACCAGGACAGGAGAAAAGGUGGGGUGGUCUGUGGCUGAGUUUGGUGGUGUGGGUCUUAGGUCUUUCUAUUUGUUUUGUUGUUGCAAACUUGCAAAGGGCUGUCCUGUGGGUGUUUUUCCUGUUCAAAAUACAACUCCUUUUGGGGAAAGAAAAGCCUGCCUUUGUGCCUUGCCUUCAUUGUGUGUGUGUCUGCCAGGGACGCUUUGAAAAAGAGUUGCAUUAUCCCAUCCUGUUCAAAAUACAACUCCUUUUGGGGAAAGAAAAGCCUGCCUUUGUGGCUUGCCUUGUGUGUGUGUCUGCAGGGACGCUUUGAAAAAGAGUUGCAUAUCCCAUCCUGUUCAAAAUACAACUCCUUUUGGGGAAAGAAAAGCCUGCCCUUUGUGGCUUGCCUUGUGUGUGUGUCUGCAGGGACGCUUUGGGAAAGAGUUGCAUAUCCCAUCCUGUUCAAAAUACAACUCCUUUUGGGGAAAGAAAAGCUUACCUUUCUGACUUGCCUUGUGUGUGUGUCUGCCAGAGACGCUUUGGGAAAGAGUUGCAUAUCCCAUCCUGUUCAAAAUACAACUCCUUUUGGGGAAAGAAAAGCUUGCCUUUCUGCCUUGCCUUGUGUGUGUCUGCCAGAGACGCUUUGGGAAAGAGUUGCAUAUCCCAUCCUGUUCAAAAUACAACUCCUUUGGGGGAAAGAAAAGCUUGCCUUUCUGCCUUGCCUUGUGUGUGUGUCUGCCAGGGACGCUUCCUGAUUUUCCCAAGACAACUUUGGGAAAGAGUUGCAUAUCCCAUACUUUCCUGUAGAACUGGAAAGUACAGGUAUCCCCUUGUAAAUAAAUAAAACUAACUAAAUGUUAUAGACUACGCUUUUGCAACAGUAAAUUGGCCAGAAUAUAACACGUUGCCAAUCAAGAUUCAACAAAUAUUUCCCACCAGUAACACAACACCUAACCAUCAUCCCUUCUGUUAC